ensembl:antisense_RNA anr-2 ncRNA
UUUUCCAAUUUCAUCCAUUAAAUCCAUUAUCAAUUUCCCGACACAAACUACAUUAUUCGGUCUGUAAAGUGCCACACAAUUACGGAAAGCGGCACGAAGUUGAUGAAGAUCCUCGCCGAAUUGGAAGCCGAUUUUCACGAUUUCAGGCGUCUCGAAAAGAUAUGAAAAUCAAUGAUAUAAAUACAAUCAUGAAGUGACAUUUGGAGGAUUGUGGCUUUGCUCGGUGAAACGUAGGCACUCCAUUCGGCGUCA